rnacentral:rRNA from 1 species
CAGAGGGUGCAAGCGUUGCUCGGAAUCAUUGGGCGUAAAGGGUAGGUAGGUGGUCUCGUUUGUCUGGGGUGAAAGCCCAGGGCUUAACCCUGGAAGUGCCCCGGAAACGGCGAGACUAGAGUCCUGGAGGGGGUCGUGGAAUUCCCGGUGUAGCGGUGAAAUGCGUAGAGAUCGGGAGGAACACCAGAGGCGAAGGCGGCGACCUGGACAGGUACUGACACUCAACUACGAAAGCGUGGGGAGCAAACAGGAUUAGAUACCCUGGUAGUCCACGCUGUAAACGAUGGGAACUAGGUUUGGUGGGUCUUGACCCCCGCCGAACCGGCGCUAACGCAAUAAGUUCCCCGCCUGGGAAGUACGGUCGCAAGACUA